GAGGGUAUAGCACGGUGGUAGAGUGUGUGCUUAGUAUGCAUGAGGUCCUGGGUUCAAUCCCCAGUACCUCCA
rnacentral:tRNA from 1 species